rnacentral:rRNA from 1 species
GCUAGCAGCCAUGCCGCGUGUAUGAAGAAGGCCUUCGGGUUGUAAAGUACUUUCAGCGGGGAGGAAGGCGUAUAAGGUUAAUAACCUUGUUCAUUGACGUUACUCGCAGAAGAAGCACCGGCUAACUCCGUGCCAGCAGCCGCGGUAAUA